AGCAGCCGCGGUAAUUCCAGCUCCAAUAGCGUAUAUUAAAGUUGUUGCAGUUAAAAAGCUCGUAGUUGAAUUUCGGGAUCAAUAUUUCGGUCAUGCCGUUGGUAUGCACUGUUAUCAUUGAUUUCUCACCUUCUAAAGAACCGUAAUGCCAUUAAUUUGGUGUUACGGGGAAUUAGGACUGUUACCUUGAAAAAAUUAGAGUGUUUAAAGCAGGCUCACGCUUGAAUACAUUAGCAUGGAAUAAUGAAAUAGGACAUCCGAUUCUAUUUUGUUGGUUUCUAGGAUCGAUGUAAUGAUUAAUAGGGAUAGUUGGG
rnacentral:rRNA from 1 species